rnacentral:lncRNA from 1 species
UUUUUCCUCCAGCCUUUACGUGGUUUAAACAUUCAAGCAAGGAAGCUAUUUGAUUCCUUAUUGAAGUCUACCACUCACGCGUAAUUCAUGCUGGACACAAACUGUAUUUGCCGCUUUAGCACUGAUCCCACAUCGCCAAACAAAUUUUAACGCCACAUCUCGAUAGCUAUAUAAACCCGUAUGCAUUCUCUUUACGAACAUCAAUUGCAGCUUUUGCUAGCUACUUUAGAGUCUAUUAUUGAUGAUUUGGAAAUAUUGACGUGAAGGUAAUUUCUUUAUUUUUUUUGUGCUUUUCUUCUUUUAUUGCUUUUUUUUGGUAGAUCAAACAAGAAUGGUUGUCAAGUGUCAAGCCGACGAGCAACUCCAUUAUAUUCCAUCAAAGGAUAAAUCCGCAACAACUUAUAGACGGACACAUCAACAUCAACAUAUAGAUGAACACAUCAAUCUCAAUAUAUAGACGAACAAAUUCACAUUAACAUAUUGACGGACACAUCCGCAUCAACAUAUAGAUGGACAAAUCCGCAUCAACAUAUAGACGGACACAUCCGCCUCAACAUAUUGAUGGACACACCCGCAUCAACAUAUAGAUGGACAAAUCAACAUAUAGAUAGACAAAUCCGCAUUAACAUAUAGACGGACACAUCCGCCUCAACAUAUUGAUGGAGAAAUCCGCAUCAACAUAUCAACAUAUAGAUGGACAAAUCCUCAUCAACAUAUAUACGGACACAUCUGCAAUGAGGCCAUGCCAACUUAAGGUACAAAGGGACUUAAAUGUCCUCCUUAAGAUUGGGGAGUUAUUGUUACUUUUAAAGACAAACCUGCGAAGCGGCCAACUUAAGGUGCAAAGGGACUUAUAUGUCCACCUUAAGAUUGGAAAGUUAUGGUUCCUUUUAAGGACAAACCCAUAAAGAGGCCAACUUAAGGUGCAAAGGGACUUAAAUGUCCACCUUAAGAUUGGAGAGUUGUAAAGCUUCAACUUGAAGAUGACAUCGACUUGAACACUUGGAAAACUUUGAAGAUUUGGCAGACUUUGCAGACUUCAACUCGAAGAUUCGGAGGGCUUAAAUAAUUCAACUUUAAGAUCGGCGAAUUUGAAGACUGAAACUUGAAGACCGGUGAAUUUGAAGACUUCAACUUUGAGACUUAGAGGGCCUAAAUAUUUCAACUUGAAGGUUGGCGAACUUGAAGGCUUCAACUUGAAGACCGACAGACUUGUAGACUUCAACUUUGAACUUGGGGGGCCUAAAUAUUUCAACUUAAAGAUUGACGAAUUUGAAGAUUUCAACUUGAAGACCGACGGAGUUGAAGAUUUCAACUUGAAUAACGACGGACUUGAAGAUAACAAUUUACCAUGGAGGGUUGCCCCUUUUAAAUCAAAUGAGAUCAAAGUUCAACAAGAGGAUGUCAUUUCAGCUUGACUUUGCAUUCCUCCAUACUUCACUAAGACAAUAAUUGGGGCAAUAUGUAUAUUUUGAACUUAUGUUACUGAACUUAGAAUGAAACUCUAAGCGGCCUAUGUACCUCGGUGAAGAGGAUCAAGUCAUACCAUAAUUCAAACUAGGUAGAUUUUUUUUCUCUUUUUUCUUUAAUUUUUUCUUACGUCCUAUCUUUUGCCUAGGCCGCCUCUUUUGAGAUUUUCAACCUAGCGGACUCUUGUUUAUUAUUAUUAUUAUUUUGUGUCCUAACUUUUGCCUAGGCCGCCUCUUUCAAGAUUUUUAACCUAGCGGACUUUUUUAUUUUUUGGUGGACCGUACACAGUUUAUACUCUUGCGGGUCAAUAGUGUAGCAACAUGCAGUUUAGGCUCGUGCGUCAAGGAGCAUUAUGACUUACAACUUCAUGGAUAAUACUUCUUCAAAAACGUGUCAUUGAUAGGGCCGAUUCUCAUACCAUCUGCAUCAACUAGCUUGUAAGCCCCACUUGAGUAGGCUUCUUGUACGACAUAAGGCCCAUCCCAUUUUGAAGUGAACUUCCCUACAGGUUAAUGAGAAGUAAUUAUGGGUCUUCGUACGGCAAGGACACGAUCUCCUACUUGAAAGGAUCUCGGGCGAACUCGUUUUUUGAAGGCGCGAGAUAAUCGAGCUUGAUAACAUUCAAGACUCUAUUGAGCUUCCAAACUCUUUUCAUCAAGAGCUUCUAACUCUGCUAACCUAAGUCGAGCAUUUUCUUCAUC